AUUGAACGCUGGCGGCAUGCCUUACACAUGCAAGUCGAACGGUAACAGGUUAAGCUGACGAGUGGCGAACGGGUGAGUAAUGUAUCGGAACGUGCCCAGUUGUGGGGGAUAACUGCUCGAAAGAGCAGCUAAUACCGCAUACGACCUGAGGGUGAAAGCGGGGGAUCGCAAGACCUCGCGCAAUUGGAGCGGCCGAUAGCAGAUUAGGUAGUUGGUGGGGUAAAGGCUCACCAAGCCGACGAUCUGUAGCUGGUCUGAGAGGACGACCAGCCACACUGGGACUGGGAAACGGCGCAGGCUCCUCCGGGAGGCAGCAGGGGGGAAUGUUGGACAAGGGGGGCAAGCCUGAUCCAGCCAUGCCGCGUGCGGGAAGAAGGCCUUCUGGUUGUAAACCGCUUUUGUCAGGGAAGAAACGCUCUGGGUUAAUACCCUGGGGUAAUGACGGUACCUGAAGAAUAAGCACCGGCUAACUACGUGCCAGCCGCCGCCGUAA
rnacentral:rRNA from 1 species